UUAAGUUAGGUCUGUGGUUGAAAGUCGAUGCCAGUCGCAGGCAAAGCGAUCCACGUAAAUCAAAUAAAAUGUUUGACGAGCAUGGUGCGGUUUAGAAGUAAGUCCUGCCGCAAAGAUGCGAGAGAAUUAGUAGUGAGAGGUUAAGUCCGGGUAGCAAAAGUUCCAGCAGGCGAGUGUGGGGUCAAAGACCAGGUCAGCUAGCUUGA
rfam:Clostridium tyrobutyricum DIVETGP, WGS project CBXI01000000 data, contig: NODE_74